rnacentral:pre_miRNA from 9 species
UCUCGAUAGCGUAAAAGCUAACUCAAAUUUUUAUGUAGUUCGAUCGUUUGCCUACGUUUGCCAUUAGGGGCGCUGUUCAACUGCAUACAAGUUUGAGUUAACUCUUACGCUAUCGA